UUUUUUCUUUUUCUUUUUUGGCUGCACCUGUGGAAUGCAUAAGUUCCAGGGCCAGGGAACCCACACCACAGCAGUGAUAAUGAUGGAUCCUUAACCCCCUGAGCCACCAGGGAACUCCAAAUAGGUUUCUUACUCUUUAUUGUAAAAGCUCAAAAUUAUGCCUAUACAAUGUUGAUAAAAAAUAUUACUAUGAUGAAAUAUGCCUUCCCUCCCAAAUUUCACAAUAAACAAAGGUCAAAAUCCAGUUGACUUUCUAAAGUAGGACAAUGAUGUUUAGACUAUAAUAGCAGGAAAAAACUAGUUAGAAUUUCAUGAUAAAGCUCUUUAAAACAGCUUUAUCUUAUCUUAAAAAGCCCUAAAGGGGAAUACUUAUUUGCUUUCAUAUUACUAAAAGGACUCUUGCUUUUAUAUGAAAACUAGUUCUCAUUUUUAAUGCACUAAUUGGCUUAAUACCACUGAAGCUUCAAAACCAUUCUGGGCAUCAUCUUGCUUUCCUAAUUAUUAUUAUUUCAUUGCUACUGAGAUUCUAUAAUAUGCUAGAUAUUAUCUUCUUAGUUCUUACUAAAAGUUAAUAAAAAUAUAAAGAUUCUCUACCCUUUUGGUGACUCCAGCACUUAAUUAUCUUAGCCAUUAACUCUUGUCAAAGUCAUUAUCACCUUCUGGAUUUCCUUUAUAUACUAGAUUUGAAGUUAACUGGCUAGAAUAUUGAUUAGAUGGUAGACUGCUUAAGAAAAAGAUUCAUCUUUUUCACAUAGAAGAUGCUUAAUAAAUGUUUAUUGUAUGAAAGAAGGAAUAGAUAAUUUUUUUGCAUAGGUUUAGCAUAAAUUUAGUUUUUAGAAAAAUGGAUUUCAUGCUUACAUUUUCCCCUACAAUUUCAUUCUGAAUUGUGUUGUUUGAGAAGGUAUAUUUUUCAGGGGUUUUUUUUGUGGGUAUAAAACAAUAUAAAUCCUACCAAUUCUAUAUAUCAAUUAGAUAAAGAUGAAGAAAAUAAUUUUCAUGAAUACAUAUUUUAUUAGGUUUAGGACACAAAUAAGAAGGAUCCAAAGAGAGAAAAUCUAUUAAUGCUGGCUGUAAUUAUAGACUUAGCUUCUCAUCCUAUGAACAAACUGCAUCAGUUCAUAAAGAAGGGUUUGGGGAGUUACUAAAAACAAUGUUGACAACAUACAGCAUUUCCAAAGAAAUGUGGGAUAAAAGGAAAGCCCAAAGUUGUUGAGACUAAAUCAAACUACUAAGGAGAACUGCAAAAACAAAUCACCUGACUCCAAAGGGAGAAACUGGGAAAAAUAAAGGUAUAAAUGCCAAAUUAAUAGAACUAUGCACUAAAAAGGGUAAAUUUUAUUCUAUGUAAAUGAUACUUUGAUAAACCAGACUAAUAAAAGGCCUUUUUAAGGUACUUAAUGUCACUAUUAAAAAUUUUCCCCAUUACUAUGGCCUCAGUAAAGUCCUGGAACUCAUGACCAGAAGGAGUGAUUCUAAAAUUAAAAAUAUUUGUAUUAAAUUUAAGAGUACAGACUUUGAGGUCAGAUAAAAAUGGAAAUCUGAAAAUGUUAUGUUACUUUGGGCUAAUUAAAAAAAAAAAAAAAGCAGUGACUAUACCAACUUAUCCACUAGUAAAACUCAGAAAAGAGUAGAUAUGUGAUAGGGUUAUUGUGAGAACUUAGCAUAUUAACAUAUAUGACACAUUUAACAUACAGCCUGGAACAUUUUGAAUCAUAUGUUACUUUCUGCUAGGGCAAUCAACCAAGGCUUCACAGAGAAGAGCCAGUAGAUAGAACAUUACUGGCAAAGAGAAGACAAAGAACAAAGGGAUUGAGACAGACAGGAAAAACAGAUGUUGCAGUUUGAAUGGAGAACUAGAUCUCUGAAAAGGAGAAAGAGAAGAUACAUCUAGAAAUGUGGGCUCUCACCAGAUGGUUGAUGGUGUUAAAUGUUAUUUUAAGGAGUUUGGAUUUUAUUCAAUGGGGAAUCAAAAGAGAUUAACCAUUCUGGAGUAAUAGAAUGACAUGAUUUAAAUUGUACUUCAGGAAGAUUAAUUUGGCAGCCAUCUAAAAGCACAGAUAAAGGUGAGAAUGGCUAGAUGUGUGAAGUCUGUCUAGGAAGUUAAUACCGCACAUAAGAGAUAGUGAGGUCUUAAAUUAGAAUGGUAUUAUGGUGGUGAUAUUGUAACAAUGCAAAAGGUAUGGAUUUGGGAGAUGCUUUGUAGGUAGAAGUGAUAGGAUUUGGGCUUGGAAAUGGAGGGGUAGUAAGGAGCAAAAUAGAGAAAGAAGUCAAACUGUUUCUGAAGUUUACAGCCUAGGCAUUUUAGAGGGUUCUUAAGCUAUUAAAGAGAUUUUAUUGGAAGAUUAUGGGUUCUGCUUAGGAUACUUUGUGUUUGAGAUACAAACAUGAGAAACAUCCAAGUGGGAUUAUUGGCCCAUCUAUUGUAAAUACAGGUCUGGAACUAAUGACAGAGACCGUGAUAAUAGUUUUGGCAUUUUUCUGGUUUAUAAAGAUGAUUGAAGCAGAGGGCUUAGGACAGACCCUUGAGGGAUUUUUGGCAUUUAGAAGACAAAAAGAGGAAGCCAGUGAAACAGAGAAGAUAGCAUUUUCUGAAAAGCCAAUUUCAAUAAAGCCGGGAGCUUGAUUAAGAGAAGUUCAAGGAGUUCUCAUCACAGCUCAGUGGUAACAAAACUGACUAGUGUCCAUGAGGAUGUGGGUUCAAUCCCUGGCCUCGAUCAGUGGGUUAAGGAUCCAGUGUUGCUGUGAGCUGUGGUAUAGGUUGCAGACGUGGCUCGGAUCUGGCGUUGCAGUGUUUGUGGUGUAGGUGGGCAGCUCCCUUUUGACCCCUAGCCUGGGAACUUCCAUAUGCUGCGGAUGUGGCCCUAAAAAAAAGACAAAAACAAACAAACAAAAAACCCCAGAAAUUCAAGAGCAUGAGAGAGAGACGGAGAGGGAGAGAGAGAGAGGAGAUGAUGGUGUGGUGACAGAAGAUUGAGAUGACUCAUGCAAGAAGAAUAAACACUAUUUUCUUGGCUUCUGUACUUCUGUGCCCACCUAGUUUUCCUCUUACUUUUCUGACCAUGUGGAUUUCUAACCACCAAACCAUUCACUUUUUCUCAGUCAUCAUUGUAGAUAACCUCUCAGUAACAUCCUAUGAUCUCUUGAAAGUCCUUAACUAAUAUCUUCUGUGUAAAUAAGGUACAAAUCUAAAUUUCUAACUCUUAUGUUUUUCCUAAAUCCCAGUCUUUCAUGUCUAACCAUCCACACAGUCAUUUUCACUUGUCUGUCUACCCAACAGUCAAACACACCAGGGCCUAAUAGUUCUCCUCUUUCCAAGUACAACUUCUAUUCUGGCUGCAUUUCAUCACCUCUCAAUUAUAUGGAUAUUUCAUUCGGUACUAAGUAUUAAUCCUAUCAGUUGGAUAUAGAAAGAAAUGGAGAAUAUUCUUAGGAGAGUAAACAUAAUGUUGAGUAAAGGAAAUGACUUUACAUCAUUAAAUGACUUUAAUGAUGUAUCAUAUAUGAUGUAUCAUAUAUGAGAUAUUACUAAAGGAAUUGAUAAUGCUUUGUGUGGAAACGAGAUUUAGAGGGACUUGUGAUAUCUUUAAAUACAUAAAGAAUAAUCAAAAGAAUGGUAAUUUAAUUUUUAUAGUAUAGCCCAGUCGGGCACAUUAGGACCAGUGGGUGACAAGAAGAUGGAUUUAUGCUCAAUGUAAAAAGAAGUUUCUUAUAGUCAGUGUUGUCAAAAGGUGAACUAGGUUACUUCAGGAAAAGGUGAGUUUUCUGUCAUCAAAGAUUUUAAAUGUAUUCUGAGAAGAAUAUUAAGGGUUAAUUCAAACAUCAAUAAAAGAAUGUUGAACCACAUGACCUCUAGGGUGUCUUCCAAACCUCAGUAUCUACGAUUCUUUCUAAAGCAGACUUAGCCCAAUUUCUUUAACUUUACCAUAGGUUCCUAGUAACUAUGGUCAGACAUGAUGACUCAGAAUCUCUUGUGUUUAUAGCUUCCCAAUUCAAUUCCUUUGUUCAGGGUUUGUCCUUUUCCUGAAAUUAUCCUUGGAUGACAUACUCCACCAGCUUGAACUGUACCUAAUUAUGCUUCCCUACUGAAUGUCUCUCGAUUUAUGUAUAUUGUCCUUAUUAUCCAAAGUACUAGGAAUGAUGUUUUUAAAUAAAGAGUGGAAAUGAACAUAACACAACACUGAAAAAUCUUUGUCUAUUUUUUUCUUGCUUCCUCCCUCCCUUCCUUCCUCUCUCUCCCUCCCCUCCCCUUCCCUCUUCUCUUUUUCUUUCUUCCUUUCUUCCUUCCUUUUUCUUUCUUUCCCUUUCUCUCUCUCUCUCUUUCUUUCUUUCUUUCUUUCCUUCUUUCNUAAAUACAGUUGACUGGAGCAAGUUCCAGCAGUUCUAGUUUUAAAGGAAGGAAAGAAGGACAAACUGAAAUAGAAAGAAGACACCAUUUUCGUAGCCUUGAGGAACAGGAUGAAUUAAAUUCACUUUAGGUUAUUAAUAAAUUGGUAGAUGUUAUGACAGAUGCAAUAUCUAUCAUUUCUGAGUACUCAUAAAAGGUAAAAUCCCCAAAGACACAGUUCUGGGAUUUGGAAAGGAUUUGAAAGGGCAUUUGUCUUAAGGCCAGGAAGGUACAGCCAGUCCCUUCUUAUGGGAGAGGCAAAAGCUAUACCCCCUAUAAAAAAGGGAAGCAAAGGACAACUUUGGUAAUAUGUGGAUCUUUUUAAACAUUGGUUCCCAGUAAGAAUGAGGGAUUGAAAUAACAUUUUAAUGUUUACAAGUUGCUUUUUUUAUGUACAACUUGUCGUCUGAUUAUCACAACAAUGAGGUAAGCAGAUAUUCUAACCCUCAUUUGCUGAUAAGGAAACUCAAAGUUAGUGAGGUUAAAUCAUCAGGAUCUUUACAUUUUAAUCCAGUAAUCUGCCUUUCUCCCCCAUGUAAAAAACACCACACGCGGUGAUUUUCUAUGAAAUUUCGAAAAGCAAUGGCAGACAAAGAAAGAAAUUUUCUUCUCUCAAGAUAGUGGCAAAUUACAAGGAGAAAAUAAGCUCAGAAUUGCAGUAUUAUUAAUAGUAUUCCUACUAAGUAAACAAACUCUAUCCUUUGAAGAUCUCAUCUAAUGUAACAAGCACAAAUCUCAUCCAAUUUCACAGAUGGGAAAAUGAAAAGGAGUCAGUGAAUAAAAAAUAGGAAUGGUUAUUAAAAAAAAGAAAAAGAAAGGAAAAAAGAAAAUAAAUAGGGCUUAGUAGCAUUGCUGAUGGAGGCUUGAUUUUGAGGAAGAAGGAACUGUGAGAGACUUGGUACUACCAUAAAACAAGUUAAAGUAAUAUAAUGUCAAGAUUUGAUUUUGCAAUUAGCAAGAAAAUGGUGAUUGUGGAAUUUAAUAGAAAGCAAAGGAGGUGGGUAAGGAGAUGAAGUCCAUUAUUUUGAGAGAUCUGGCCCAAAUGAAAAUAUUUGUUUAUUGGUAGAAAAGGCAACAUCGUGAAACAGGAAAAAAGAAAUCAGUAAAACUGAGUCGUAUGUAUUUAAGGCAGAGAAGUAAGAAUGAAGAGAGAGAUAACAAAAAGGCAAAAGAAGAUAAAUACAAGAGGGUAAAAGAAGUAGAAUGUUUAGAAGAUAGAAACAACAGCACAAAGAUGAAGGAAGAAAGAAAAGACUAUGCAGCUGGUUUAUUAGAGGUCUUUCAUCAAUCUUACAACAUUGUUUAGCUGCUACUAGUAUUUGUUUUAAGAAGGAUAGUUUAAAGAGGAGAAAAGGGAAAAGGAAAAUGUUGAUGCCUAAGUUAUGGAGUUUACAUGGCAGAAGGAAAUGAGAAGAAACCGGAAAUACUGUGGGAUUUUUAAGCAUGAAAAUAAAGGGACAUUCUUAUAUCCAUUACGGAAUGUAUAUGAGAUACUUCAAAAGAGUUAGGUACAAGUACUAAGCGGCAGCAAGGAUUCAGUUGAUAUAGGAAAGCCUAGCUUUGAUGGUUCUAAGAUUUUCUUUAGAAGUAACUUUGGGCCCAGGAAUACAAGCUGAAAUUAAAUAUGUCCUGAUUUAUUGUCCUGAUCAGAGUUUUAGAACAUAGUUUCUUGAUAUAACCUUGGCAUGAGCUUCCAAGAGAGACCAACAAAUAGCUAUUUCCUAAAGUCUUUAAGAAAAUAAUAAACAAUAAAGUUCCUUUGAGUACUGUGAUUCCAUGAAUAAUAAUUUUGAUCACCAGACAUCAGAUUUCUCUUCUCAAAAUAGAUCAAGAAAGGACAAGGAUUAUUUCUUCUAUUCACAGUAUAUUUUCCAUUAGUCCAAAUAUUAACCUCUACAUGCAAUAGGUGUUUAAUAAAUGUUUGCUAAAUUAUUUUAAGGCUUUGGAACAACUGAAGCACAUUUAAUGAACCUUGUGAUUUUUCUGCUUAAAGAUGCCCUUUCAUCAUUAGUAUAUUUGUUUACUAGUUUCCUUACACAUUGUAUCUAUUAAGCUAAGUUCAUAUACUCUUUGGCUCUAAAAUCAAUAUAUAUUUUACUUGCAGUAAGACAUGGUGCCUAUAAUUCACUGCAUCUUAUUUUAAGUUAAGCUUGUCAUAGAAAAUACAUAAGAAACCCUGUUAGAUUCUAAGAUUUUAUCCUAGAAUUGGGAGAGGUUUUGAUAUUUUAAAAAAUGUUCUCUUACAUUUUCAGACUAUUAACCUUUUGCCAGUCAUUUCCCUCUUAAGAAAUGAACACUUCAUUUAAACUGUAAAUUUAUUAUCAUUUAGUUUCAUAAUAAUAUCCCCAAAAAAGUAGAUUGUAAUUUUUUUUUCCUACUAAAUUUAGCUGUUGAAAUCUCCUAAUUUUUGGAAAAUUUCCACAUUUUCUCAGAACUUCUAAAGAGAUAAUGUUUUGAAAUGUCUCAAUUUCUUUUUUUAUCUAAAAGGAAAAUAUGCCCUAUAGUGAUCCCUUAGUUUGGAGUUUGUCUUUCUAUUAGUGUAUAAAAAAAUAGUCUUUAUUUUUACUUUGAGACUACAGAUAGUAUAAAUAUUUCCAUAGUGAUUUUCACAUAUAUUGCUUUCAAUCCUGGUUUUAUAAAAACAUAAUGGAAAAUAGUGGAAUACAUCAAGUUGGCUGGCACAUUUUGGAACUCAGAUAUCUUGAAUAAUUAUUGAGACCUUCGGGUUAUAAUAUGUUCCAAGUCUUUUGAGGUUCAUCCACUUCUGUUUUCCAUCUAAAGGAGACCUUGGUCCUUGUGACUCAGAAAGGACAAGCCCCAAGGUCCCAGCUGCGUUCCCCUUUCAUCUCCUAAUCUGAGUCAUCUCACUUACCUCCUAAAGCCAUAUAUCUCUUGCUGUUCUCUGUUGCAUGAAGUGGCCUUUAUGCUUCAGAAAAUUUAAAGGUCAUUUCCUUUCUUUGAAACCUUACUACAUUUUGUUACUUACAGUGUCAGUUUCAGUAAAAGAAAACAGAGAGGUGAAUUGUUAUUUUGCUGGUGAAGACCAGAGCUUGGGGAGUACCUCUGAGAGGUGUUUUCAAUCUUGGGUCACAACACCAGGGUCCCAGACUGAGUACCCUUUCCUUUUAAAAACCAAAAACUAUAACCCCACAAUAGCACGGUAUUCCUACUAUGAAAAGAAAGUUGUUCCAUAAGAACUGCUACAUCAUAGAAAAAACUUAUGAAGAAGAAAAAAGAUGAACUCACUGACGAAGCAACAAAAAUUAGCAUAGGGUUAAAUGGUUUUGCCUCCAAAACUGAGUUCUUAAGAAGAUUUUGGAAACUAAUAUCCACUAUAGCUUUACAGUAUGAUUUUUUUUCCCAUAAGGCAUUAGAUAUUUACCUAAAGUGGAGUCUUUUGUGGUAAAAACAAAGCAGCAGGUAUUAUUUAACAAAUUCACUUUUGUUUUUUUGUUUUGGACUUGUAUUCUUGGAUAGUAAGAUCUUAUAAAAAUUGCCUCUUUUCUAAAGCUGCAAAAUACAUUUUUUCCAAGUCUCUUAGCCCCGCAGUUUUGUAAUAUUGCACUCUGAUCCACUAUUUUAUAAUCAUUACAUAUCUGAAUGCUGCCUUUCAUCCAUUUUCUGACAUCAACUGGUUACUAAUCACAUGAAAUGAAC
rnacentral:lncRNA from 1 species